GACCUGGCUGGGCGGUCUUGCCGAAAGGUAAGCACUGCUCUGGUCGGGUCUUUCCUUCUGGGGAACCAGUGUGCUCUUAAUUGGGUGCGCUGGGGAUCCAGGACUUUUACCUUGAGAAAAUUAGAGUGUUCAAAGCAGGCUAUCGCCCGAAUACAUUAGCAUGGAAUAAUAAAAUAGGAC
rnacentral:rRNA from 1 species